rnacentral:ncRNA from 1 species
ACAAAGACGAAGAAAGACACCCAGUAGAAGUGGAGAUUACCGUUCUCAGAGAACCGAUGGUUGGUGCAAAUCGGCAAGCGGACUUCCUUUGAAUUACAGGUCUGGAGUCGUUUGAUAUUAGUAGUUCUAUUGAUAAUAUCAAGCCGGAAUGAAGAUUCCGUUAUAUACAAUGAAGUGAGAAGCUGAAUAUAUCUUAUGAUUUUAUCAAUAUAGGUAUAGGAUCAGUCUUCUAAUUAGGGUGGUAACGCGAGGCCUGCUCGUCCCUUUA